UACGUAGGUGGCAAGCGUUGUCCGGAUUUACUGGGCGUAAAGAGCGCGCAGGCGGUCGUUCAAGUCGCGUGUGAAAGCCCCCGGCUCAACUGGGGAGGGUCACGCGAUACUGAUCGACUCGAAGGCAGGAGAGGGUAGUGGAAUUCCCGGUGUAGUGGUGAAAUACGUAGAGAUUGGGAAGAACACCAGUGGCGAAGGCGGCUAUCUGGACGGUUUCUGACGCUAAGACGCGAAAGCGUGGGGAGCAAACAGG
rnacentral:rRNA from 1 species